CUCAUACUCCCUUCGUCCGGAAAUACUUGUCCUAAAAAUGGAUAAAAUGGAUGUAUCUAUAACUGAAAUAAGUCUAGAUACAACCAUUUCAAGGACAAGUAUUUCUGAAUGGAGGGAGUAUAAU
rnacentral:pre_miRNA from 1 species